GAGCGAGAACGGGCGGUCCGGGUCGCAAGGCCCGAGCACUGCACAAAAACCGGUCUCGUUCUUCCUUCUGGUCGCGCCGGUCGGCUUCGGUUGGCCGGUGACGCCGGAUCGGUUACUUUGAGCAAAUUAGAGUGUUCAAAGCAGGCGUUUUGCCUUGAAUACGUUAGCAUGGAAUAACAGAAUUGGCUUCGGCUGGAUUUUGUUGGUUUCGAGAGUCGAGGA
rnacentral:rRNA from 1 species